UACGUAGGUGGCAAGCGUUGUCCGGAUUUAUUGGGCGUAAAGCGAGCGCAGGCGGUUUUUUAAGUCUGAUGUGAAAGCCUACGGCUUAACCGUAGAAGUGCAUCAGAAACUGGGAGACUUGAGUGCAGAAGAGGGCAGUGGAACUCCAUGUGUAGCGGUGGAAUGCGUAGAUAUAUGGAAGAACACCAGUGGCGAAGGCGGCUGCCUGGUCUGUAACUGACGCUGAGGCUCGAAAGCAUGGGUAGCAAACAGG
rnacentral:rRNA from 1 species